GUUUCCAUAGUGUAGUGGUUAUCACGUUAAACUAACACGAAAGGUCCCCAGUUCAAACUGGGUGGAAACA
rnacentral:tRNA from 1 species